rnacentral:rRNA from 1 species
UACGGAAGGGCGAGCGUUGUUCGGAUUCAUUGGGCGUAAAGGGUGCGUAGGUGGCGCGCUAAGUCAGGUGUGAAAUUCGGAGCUUAACUCCGAAACUGCAUUUGAUACUGGCGUGCUUGAGGACUGGAGAGGAGACUGGAAUUCAUGGUGUAGCAGUGAAAUGCGUAGAGAUCAUGAGGAAGACCAGUGGCGAAGGCGGGUCUCUGGACAGUUCCUGACACUGAGGCACGAAGGCCAGGGGAGCAAACGGG